rnacentral:rRNA from 1 species
CCUACGGGAGGCAGCAGUAGGGAAUAUUGCUCAAUGGGGGAAACCCUGAAGCAGCAACGCCGCGUGGAGGAUGAAGGUUUUCGGAUUGUAAACUCCUUUUGUUAGAGAAGAUAAUGACGGUAUCUAACGAAUAAGCACCGGCUAACUCCGUGCCAGCAGCCGCGGUAAUACGGAGGGUGCAAGCGUUACUCGGAAUCACUGGGCGUAAGGAGCGCGUAGGCGGGAUAGCAAGUCAGAUGUGAAAUCCUAUGGCUUAACCAUAGAACUGCAGUUGAAAUUGUUAUUCUAGAGUAUGGGAGAGGUAGGUGGAAUUCUUGGUGUAGGGGUAAAAUCCGUAGAGAUCAAGAGGAAUACUCAUUGCGAAGGCGACCUGCUAGAACAUAACUGACGCUGAUGCGCGAAAGCGUGGGGAGCAAACAGGAUUAGAUACCCGAGUAGUC